rnacentral:rRNA from 1 species
AACGAACGCUGGCGGCAGGCCUAACACAUGCAAGUCGAGCGCCCCGCAAGGGGAGCGGCAGACGGGUGAGUAACGCGUGGGAAACUACCCUUUGGUACGGAACAACUCGGCGAAAGCUGAGCUAAUACCGUAUGUGUCCUUCGGGAGAAAGAUUUAUCGCCAAAGGAUGUGCCCGCGUCGGAUUAGCUAGUUGGUGGGGUAACGGCCCACCAAGGCGACGAUCCGUAGCUGGUCUGAGAGGAUGAUCAGCCACACUGGGACUGAGACACGGCCCAGACUCCUACGGGAGGCAGCAGUGGGGAAUAUUGGACAAUGGGGGCAACCCUGAUCCAGCCAUGCCGCGUGAGUGAUGGAAGGCCUUAGGGUUGUAAAGCUCUUUCGCCCGCGAAGAUAAUGACUGUAGCGGGAGAAGAACGCCCCGGCUAACUUCGUGCCAGCAGCCGCGGUAAAGGUAGUA